AGCGCGCAGCAGCGCCUCACGCGCCAGGAGCGAGUAUCGGACCACAAACAAAUAAACACUGCCACCAAAAACAGGUAAAGGAUUUUGACUGCAGUUACAUCAGAUGAACACACGGCGGCGCCCGAGCGCCAUUCUCCAGAACGAGAUGCAAUCUAUAGUUGCUUUACAAACAGCACGUGCAGCUUGAACCCGAUGAAGUGCUUCUGGCAAACGAUAAGAUACAGCUUCGACUCAUUGGAUGAUAGGGGGAGAGUGACAAUGGAUCGGAGCAGACGCUUUGCCCGCAACACUCACCCGUGAGUCGCGAGCUAAUUUUGACAUUGUACAGAGACUGUAAAACUAGGAUCAGGGAACGCCGGAUUGUUCAAGCUGGCGCCUCUUGGCUUAGCUGCUCCUUCUGAAUGUGUAAACACGCUUUUGAGCGCCGUGACUGAUUACAGCUCACGGAUUAUUAGAAAUGUUCGUAUUUAUUAUUUUUUUUAAGAUGUUAAAAGUGGAGAAAAUGGAUAUUUGGCACCAAAGACGUAAUUCCUCAGACCAGUUGAGAUCAGUCAUUUAUGAGGGAGGGAAUGAAUGAUUGAGUUUAUUUUAAUGGUAAUUUGAUUAUCAAAUUUAUUUUAAAUGAUAUCAUUGAUUUGGUGAGCUCUUCAUAGUUUCAAAGCAG